rnacentral:rRNA from 1 species
UACGGAGGAUUCGAGCGUUAUCCGGAUUUAUUGGGUUUAAAGGGUGCGUAGGCUGUCGGAUAAGUUAGAGGUCAAAUGUCGGGGCUUAACCCCGUGCCUGCCUCUGAUACUGUUCGACUGGAGAGCGGAUGCAGCAGGCGGAAUGAGUAGUGUAGCGGUGAAAUGCUUAGAUAUCACGAAGAACUCCGAUUGCGAAGGCAGCAUACCGGCGCCCGACUGACGCUGAAGCACGAAAGCGUGGGUAUCGAACAGG